rnacentral:rRNA from 1 species
CCCUUAGACGUUCUGGGCCGCACGCGCGCUACACUGACCAGUGCAACAAGCAUCCGUCCUUGGCCGACAGGCCCGGGCAAUCUUUGAACGCUGGUCGUGAUGGGGAUUGACUUUUGCAAUUUUUGGUCUUCAACGAGGAAUUCCUAGUAAACGCAAGUCAUCAACUUGCAUUGAUUACGUCCCUGCCCUUUGUACACACCGCCCGUCGCACCUACCGAUUGAAUGGUCCGGUGAAGCCUCCGGAUUGGCGCGCACCUCGGUGCCGCCGAGAAGUUGGCUAAACCUUACCAUUUAGAGGAAGGUGAAGUCGUAACA